rnacentral:lncRNA from 1 species
CUUUGAACUUCUUCAUCUCUCAAAACUCUCUCAUGUCUUCGCCAAAACCCUUGCCCCUUUUCCACCGGUUUCCACCUUAUCUCUCCGCAAUUCAUGGCAUCUCAGGCCCUAGGUGGUCUAUACUCACCCCCACGUGCCCUUAAACCCCUAUUAUGAUUAGUUCCAAGGUCUGACCUUGAAGAUCCUGCCUCAGAAUCCCUCCGAUUCAGGUUCUAUGGCAAUCUCCAGCUCAUCUCCGGUGUGUCCUAGCCUUGCGAGUUCAUCUCCGAAUCUGACCAGGCCUUUCUCAUUUUUCUAGGGAUUCUCUGAAACCCUAAGCCAUUUUUCAAGGUUUUCCUAUUUUCUCUAAGAUCUACUUUAGAUCCGUGCUAUUUCUGAGAUUUUUAAAGUAGUUCUUACAUCUUUUCCAAUUUUUGUUUUCAAAACUGUUCGUCUUCUGGAACCUAGGGUUUCCUUGAUUUUUUUACUUGUUUUACUGCGAUUACUUACAUUAUUUUGCUUUACUGGAACUCCUAAAUAUCUUACAAUGGUUUCUGUGUAUUUUAUUUAGUGUAUUUUUCUCCUAGGGUUUCUAGUGAUUUCCUUUACUGUGUUUGCUUUCAUGAAAUGUCUGUGCUCUUUGGGUUUUCCUGAGUUUAGUUUGCUUGAUUUUCUAUGCUUUCAUCUUUGCAUUUAAUCCAUGGAGGAAACCCUAGAUUUUGGGGUUUUCAACCACUUAUGUGCGGUUGUUUUGCUUCUUGUGUUGCUUCCUUUUAUAUUUCAAAAACCCAAAUUUCUAAAGCUCGUCUCACGUUCUCUGACUCUUGCUAAGCUUUGCAAGAUCUUCUGGUUUCUCUCAUGGCUAUGUUCUUCUACUUUUGAUUGUAUGACUACUUUGCUCUGUUUAAUUCUAGCCUCUGCAUGUUUAAGUUUAUUCAUCCUUUAUAGUCAUACCUUUUAAUCUCAAAAUAACCCUAGUUUUUGGGGAUUGAUUUCAAACCACCAGUAUGUGAGCCUAUUCGAAUUUUUCCUUGUCUAAUUUGGACCAAUUUUCUGGCUGAAUUCAUUAUUAAGUUCAAAUCUUUAAUUCCUUAAUUUACUAUGUUUUAGUUGAUUUUAUUCUUACCAUAUUUACCUAAGCCAUGUAUUUUCAAAAACUUCUCUUAUGUAUUUACCCUUUACUACAAAAUAUGUUCUUGAUUUUAUUUCCUUAAAUAAAAAACUUUGCCCUCUCCUAUUCAAAUUCGAACUCCUCAAUUAAAGGAGUUCCCUUCCCCUGAUUAACUAUGAUUGAUACUGAACUCUUUCUUGCCUUGUUUACCUGCCUGUUUUCAGUUAUAAAUACCCUACUCUUCUUCUUUAAACAUACGAACAAUUGAGUUCAAAAACACAUACAUACACACUCAAAGCUCUCUUUUCUUUACUAUUACUUGUGCUACUAUUCUGGCUAGCCGACUAAAAGUCAAGGCUAGACUUUGGAAUCUCUCUUGCUUUCCUCAAGUGUUUGCUAAAGAUUCUCUGGCUAUUUUCAUGCUUUGUUUGAUCUACUGUUUGAAAGUUGCAACUGGUAUGUCUCCAUAAGUUAAACAUUCUCCGCAACUAUGUGUUUACUUCUCCUUUUUUACACGUCCCUCACUAUAUAUUUAGAUUUAUUGCAUUAUGUAAUCAUAUUUUAGUCUGUAAUAUUCUUUCUUCAUGUUUCUGCACCUUUAAGUUCUCUUAUACUUUAUUUUGCUUGAUGUUUUUAUAUACAUGUUAUUCCAUGUGAACCCCUUCUCUUUGACCCCUUUAUGUGUGAGUACUGUUCUAGGUUAAGGUAGCAUCCCAUUGCUAUCCAUGACCUGGGACCAGGUUCUGUUGGACCUUUACUCAAAUCAGUCCCAUUCUCUUCUCCCCAUUUAUGUGUUGAGCCUUGACUAGGGUCUGGAAGUGUCAUAAUCACCUCCAAGGCGCCUGUCUAACUUCAAACGUCUGCUCUUUAUCUAUUUAAACCAAUUGUAGAGUCAGGGGUGUGCCAGUCUUACCCAUGGCUGGGUGUGACCACCCUUUGCUUUGGUUUCCCCUAGUCCCCUCACUUUACACUUAUUCUUAGUUCUAUAAAUUCUACCCUCUUUGGUAAGCCAUUCUUUGGGACCCUAGGGUUCCCUCUAAACUUGGAGGUCUAAGGGCUGGUAAUUUCACGCAUUGCACUACUCUGUUACAAUAUUCCAGCUUUAGAGUGUAAGCAUUGCCUGGGCUUUUGAAAAACCCUUGGGACAUUGAAACACUCUAAGAGAAGGCCUUGGAAUCUGGAAUCCGGAUUUUAAGGAACAUAUAUGUUGUAAUUCUUGAUAGCGAAGGCACAUAUCCUGAGUCCCAGCUCAACUCAUAGUUGAACGUUUUGGGAGAGGGCAUGUAGCCUGAGUUGUCGUUCAAGCGUAGUUGAAACUUUUGUAAUUCUUGAUGGCGAAGGCACUUAGCCUGAGUCCCAUUUCAACUCAUAGUUGAAAUUUUUGGGCGAGGGCACGUAGCCUGAGUUUUCAUUCAACCGUAGUUUAACCUUUUGUAAUUCUUCAUAGCGAAGGCACAUAGCCUGAGUCCCAGUUCAACUCAUAGUUGAAUUUUUGGGUGAGGGCACGUAGCUUGAGUCGUUGUUCAACCGUAGUUGAACCUUUGCAAUUUUUGAUGGCGAAGGCACACAGCCUGAGUCCUAGUUCAACUCAUAGUUGGACUUUUGGGCGAGGGAACAUAGCCUGAGUUGUUGUUCAACCGUAGUGAGCCUUUGUCUUUCCGCAUGACUCGUUCUGUGUAGGGUGUCAGGGGUUAGGUUUUCGUUUGCGAUAUUGUCCGAUUUGUGUGUAGUCUUCUUGACUUGUUCGUAGAGGUCAUUCUGUUAUGGAUCUUGGUUUGAGAUGCCUUCGUGCCACUUUCUGGCAGGGUCCCGUAUCGGGGGGAUGAGGGUAUAUCCCACGUGUUCUCCCCGUAAGGGGGGGGGGUAUCUGCUUCUUCUUCUUUUUCUUUCUCUUUAUUGAGAAUGGGGGGGGGGGGAGUCGAGGCUUCGGACUCUUGCCGGAGCUUUCGAGUUCCCUUCACCCGUUGUGCUACUUUGGCUCAUUUGAGCUGGGUUGCUUUCCCUUUUUGGGUGUUUUCUUUCAUUUUUGGUCUAAUCAUGAAUUACCAUUUUGCUAUGAAAUCCCCACAGACAGUGCCAAAUUAUUUAGCUCAAAGUUAUUGUACACUUAUUAGCAUAAAACAGUCGAAAUAAAGUAAGGGUCAAUCAUAGAAGAUUGUAAUAAGAAGCCAAAAGACUGAACAAAAGAGCAAGGGAUAAGUUUAUAUAUUAAGAUGGCAAAGGUGGGAAGCAUUUUUUUGAUUGAUAUCAUUUGUUCUGCCUCUCCUGGGAGAGGUUCAGAGCCUUACAAUGAUCUUCUCUUUUCUUUUGAAGUAGAGGCAAAGAAGAAGAAGCAGCCCUCCCCCUUUCUAGGGUUGUUUUCUUAAUAUAUAUAGCAACGAAUCCUGCCAGCUGGCACUGAAUGACCGCAGAAGAUGAUGGUGUGUACGUUGUGGCCUUGCUAGACAAAUCGGUGAUCGUCGGGUGCCGUCGCUAAUAAAUGGCCAUACCAUUUAUUAACCACUAAUAGGCUUAGGAAUGGAUUAAUCCCGUUAAUUUUCGUAGAGUCAUGUUUUGGCCCA